rnacentral:rRNA from 1 species
UGCGAAAGCGUGGGGAGCAAACAGGAUUAGAUACCCUGGUAGUCCACGCCGUAAACGAUGUCUACUUGGAGGUUGUGGCCUUGAGCCGUGGCUUUCGGAGCUAACGCGUUAAGUAGACCGCCUGGGGAGUACGGUCGCAAGAUUAAAACUCAAAUGAAUUGACGGGGGCCCGCACAAGCGGUGGAGCAUGUGGUUUAAUUCGAGGCAACGCGAAGAACCUUACCUACUCUUGACAUCCAGAGAACUUUCCAGAGAUGGAUUGGUGCCUUCGGGAACUCUGAGACAGGUGCUGCAUGGCUGUCGUCAGCUCGUGUUGUGAAAUGUUGGGUUAAGUCCCGCAACGAGCGCAACCCUUAUCCUU